CUCGGGCUCGGUAAAAYCCCUUCUAGCAUGGGCAGGAGCGAACUGACGUACUGCAGAAAAAWAGCGCUGGCUAACUACGUGCAGCAGGCCGCGUAAUACGUAGGGCGCUAGCGUCGUCUGGAAUUAUUGGGCGUAAAGAGCUCGUAGGCGGUUUGUCGCGUCUGCUGUGAAAACCCGAGGCUCAACCUCGGGCGUGCAGUGGGUACGGGCAGACUAGAGUGCGGUAGGGGAGACUGGAACUCCUGGUGUAGCGGUGGAAUGCGCAGAUAUCAGGAAGAACACCAAUGGCGAAGGCAGGUCUCUGGGCCGUAACUGACGCUGAGGAGCGAAAGCAUGGGGAGCGAACAGGAUUAGAUACCCUGGUAGUCCAUGCCGUAAACGUUGGGCGCUAGACGUGGGGACCUUUCCACGGUUUCCGUGUCGUAGCUAACGCAUUAAGCGCCCCGCCUGGGGAGUACGGCCGCAAGGCUAAAACUCAAAGGAAUUGACGGGGGCCCGCACAAGCGGCGGAGCAUGCGGAUUAAUUCGAUGCAACGCGAAGAACCUUACCAAGGCUUGACAUAUAGAGGAAACGGCUAGAGAUAGUCGCCCCGCAAGGUCUCUAUACAGGUGGUGCAUGGUUGUCGUCAGCUCGUGUCGUGAGAUGUUGGGUUAAGUCCCGCAACGAGCGCAACCCUCGUCCUAUGUUGCCAGCACGUAAUGGUGGGAACUCAUGGGAGACUGCCGUGGUCAACACGGAGGAAGGUGGGGAUGACGUCAAAUCAUCAUGCCCCUUAUGUCUUGGGCUUCACGCAUGCUACAAUGGCCGGUACAGAGGGCUGCGAAACCGCAAGGUGGAGCGAAUCCCAAAAARCCGGUCUCAGUUCGGAUUGGGGUCUGCAACUYGACCCCAUGAAGUGGAGUCGCUAGUAAUYGCAGAUCMGCAACGYUGCGGUGAAUACGUUCCCGGGCCUGUACACWCCKCCCGUCRUCUCAACAAAGUCGCUACACCGUWURCCCUGCCCYCCUUUCACUAUCUCUUCCUUCUAAACUUUUUUUCCCCC
rnacentral:rRNA from 1 species